rnacentral:misc_RNA from 1 species
CCCAGCCUUUCUUCCACCUCCGUUAUUCCUUAGUAGAGUCCGUCUCUGCUCGUUCUCUUCGAGCUUGGCUCCUGCGCGCGCUCCUCCUCUGCCUCCAUGGCCGCGCCCUGCCUGGCGUUUCAAGCGCCAGCCUCCGCGCCCUCCCCUGCAAGUAGCCGAGCGUCCUUCUGGCCAAAGCUCUCUCUUACCUCCUCCUGGUCCCUUCUCUGCGCGCGCUCAGCUCCAGCUUGGCCACCAUCUCCCAUGGCCGCCGCGCUCCCUGCUCGGCCUGCGUGCCCCAGCGCUCGCCUAUGGUGGCGCGUCCCUCUCCCUGGCAUUUUCCCAAGCCGCGAUUUUCCCUGCUUCUCUCCCAUGGCCGCCGUCGAGCUCC